rnacentral:lncRNA from 12 species
UUAAAAAUGUAUAACACAUUUUGUACACAGAAGAUAGUCAAAACCAGAUAUCAUUUAUCUUCUAGGUGGAUGGAAAAGAGACCAAGAAAAAAAAAUAAGUGGCUUAAUGACCCAACUCUACCCAGAGAAUGGAAAAUAAAAUGCAAGAUUCUAAACCCCGCCCUUCCAUUUCAUCUUCAUUUUUGAAAAAUUCAGGAAAAGGUGGGCUGUUUUGCCUUCCUACCAUGGACGAGGAUCUUGAAGGAGAAACUUGGCAGAGCUUUUCCAUUCCCUGGGGCUUCGGCCAAGCAGUAGAGGAUGAAGGAGAACAUAUCUGCCAGUGAGUAAUAGUCCUCAAGUACAAAUAUCAGGGGUCCUAUCAUUGUUUUCUGAGAUUAGCCCGUGUUUUUGGUAGGAUGAAUUUAUUUGAACAUGGGUUGAAGAGACCGUGUCUCGGAAUUAUACAAAAAUGAUGCCUGCGAUAUAAAAGUGAUGGGAUCCUUCUGAAUUUUAUCAAUAAUUCUAACUUUUAAAAAAGAACAUUGGAGGUAAGGCAGGAAUAGCCUAUAAAAGAAAAGAAUAACACCAUAUACUACUUUGGCUGUUUAUUUCCUUAAGACUAACUGUCCAGAGGCACUUUUGGAAAGAGAGAAGCUGAUUUGAGCUGCUUGUCCCACUAUAUGGUAUAAUAAUAAGCUGUCAUUCACAGUAAACUUCUGACUGCCCUUUUUGCAAAGGAAAUUGGAUUGUGCUGUGUUUAUUUUCUUUUAAAAGUGGUAUCUUCUCAGUGACAAAUGUAUCUGUCAGGAUGAAAAGUUUUUAUUUUUAAACAGAAAAUGCUAUGUGGGCUGUACAAAUUGGUUUGUAUUUAAUUGCUUCUUUACCUUCAGUGGUCGUGAUAAAUAAGUAUCUCUCCUUUGAAAAAACUACCUUUUUACUGAAAGUUAAGAUCCUUGAUGAGUGGUUUAUGGUUUAUAUAAAUAUGUAAUUCUUUCUUGAGGUUGUCUAAAUUUUGAGUAUGAGGAAUUUGUCAGUAAUGCAUACACUUUUGGAAUGCUAAUUGGAAAGUUUCCAGCCAUUCUGCUAUUUAAUGCUUUCUCAUUAAUCACUGGCACUUAUGAAUUUGUUUAAAUGAUACUCUUUCAGCAGAUUCUAUGAUUAUUGAGUAUUUAAAUAUUGUAAUAAUAACUUUGUUUGGAGGCCCACAUAUAAAGGAACUACCACAGGUUAAGAGAAGCUCUCCAAAUAGAUAAAAUUCAUUACCCUUGACUUUUAUCACUUGAGACUUUGAGCCAAAUGUGUUUAGAGUUGCCAUAAUUUUCCAUGAUAGUAAUCACUUGAUGGCACUAUCUCUUUUAAAACAGUUUUGACAGUUUGCAUGGGUACAAAUGAAACCUCUUUCUGUUAUGUAGUUCACUGUAAGGAAGAUUUAGAAAUUUAUGUUGUCAUUCUAUGGGAUUAAAACACACAAAACAGUGUGAUAUUUUGGAACUAGCAACUACAAUCUCCCAAAACUACUGUUUGCUUAUGAGGUCAUUUCAUUGGAUAACUUUUUUUUAAGUGCAUGCAUUUUCUUUCUGAUUUCGUACCUGAAGGAUGAAAUGAUUGAAUACAUUUGGGUUAAGGAAAAUGACCGCUUAAGACAUAGGAUCCUGAGAUUUGUGUCUCUUACUUGCCUGAUCAGUAGCAUGAAAAGAAAUAGAUUUGGUUCCAUGCUCAUUGAAGCAUAUUGUAUAUAGGUUUGGAAGAAAGUAGGUAAUGAAAGAGAUAAGAAAUAUUGUAAAUCAAAAAAGAAAAAAGAAAUAUUGUAAAUCAAAAUACUAAAGCCAAACCACCGAAUUCCAGUUUGAUAGUUUGUUGGCCAUAGUUUUAACUCCAUGUAUCCAGUGAAAAGGCUAGUGUGUCUUGUUUUAUCAGAAUUAGUGCUAGAUGAGUCUCUAAAGUCUGAAGUUCUAUGUUAUUCCUGGGUGUGCUUAGUCAUUAGAUGAUCCAAGUUAGUAUAUUAUUAGUUUUCUUUUUAUACAUAAAAUACGGCUUUAUUUUUAUGACUCAACACAAAGAACAACCAUUAUUUUAAUUCUGGCUCAUGUCUACAGUGGAGGAUGCUCUCAGGUAUAGAACUACGUAAAUGUGAUUCAAGAUUCAGUGGGCAGGGACAGUCUUCACAGAGCAAGGGAUGCUGGUCCAGUUGACUCCAUUGAGUCUCACUUGUGCUGCUGACUCUUCACAGGAGCAAGAUUUAAAAUCCUUAGUCUGCCUGUCCUCCAUUUAGGCAGUGCAAGCUCCCUAGACUGGGAGGUCCCUGAGAAUGGUUCACUUUCCUGAAGUUUUAUAACCUUCAAAAUUAAAGUGACUUGAGAUUUUUUUCAUUGUUGAUUAAAGAGCAACCGGUUCCUUUUCCCAGUAGAGAAGCCACACAGAAUGGUAAGAACUAUAGUUUCCAGAACUAGUCUAACCUGGGUGUAUACUCUGGUAUUUCGUUUAUUGAGUAUAUGGUUUUAGGUAAUUUUGUCAGUUUCAUUAAGCCUCAGUCCUCAUGUCUGUAAAAGGAGGAUCAUGCCUACUUCAUGGGGAUGAAGGGGUAAGUUAGUUAAUAUAGGAAUGUCUCCUUUCACAGUGCCUGGCUCAUCCAAUUAUCUAACUACUGAUGGUGCUUCUACUGUUAGCUAGUAAGCUAAUAGCAGUGAUAGCAGAACCUUUCAGAAACAAUAUGGACCACAAGUCUUCAGGUUCAGUUAAAGUGUGAGAGAAAGUUACAGGUUAUAUUGCUUAUCUUCUGGUAAGAAGAUUCUAAUCUUGCAGCAGGAAGAAUGAUUCAUUUAGAAUUGGUAGGAGGAAUGAGUACAGGAAGGUAGGAAGGAAUAUAAUACUUCUAUGCAGUUUCUUUGGUUUUUAAACACAAAGCUUGGUAGAAAGUAUAAUGAAAACAUUAGUGAGUUUAAAAACAGAAGUAAAAAAAUGGGAUGAGUUGAUUUCAGCAUAAUGAAUAUUUAUGGAUAACCUACCAAUGUGCUAAAUGCUGGGGUACAAAGAUCAAAGUCAAGGCUACAGUGAGAUGCCACACCACACCUAUUAGAAUGGCAAAAAAGGAAAAAUGCUGGCAAUGCCAAGUGCCAGCCAGGAUGUGGAACAGCUGGAACUCUCACUGAUUGCCAGUACAGUGUACCAGCAAAAUGGCAUAGCCACUUCGGAGACUAUUUGGUAACUUCUCAUAAAGCUAAACAUACAUUUGCUAUAAAACCCAUACAGUCCCACUCCUGGGUAUUUACCCUAGAGAAAUGAAAACUCAUGUUCACAGAAAAACCUUUCACAAAUGCUUAUAGUAGCUGUAUUCAAAAUUACCCCAAACUGGAAACAACCCAAAUAUCCUUCAAGGAAUGCAUGGAUGAGCAAACUGUGUUAAAUCCUCACAAUGAAAUACUACUCAGCAAUAAAAAGGAACAGACUAUUGAUACA